CUACGGGCCGCACCAGUCGGGAAUAUUGCGCAAUGGAGGAAACUCUGACGCAGUGACGCCGCGUAUAGGAAGAAGGUUUUCGGAUUGUAAACUAUUGUCGUUAGGGAAGAUAAAAGACAGUACCUAAGGAGGAAGCUCCGGCUAACUACGUGCCAGCAGCCGCGGUAAUACGUAGGGAGCAAGCGUUAUCCGGAUUUAUUGGGUGUAAAGGGUGCGUAGACGGGAAGACAAGUUAGUUGUGAAAUCCCUCGGCUUAACUGAGGAACUGCAACUAAAACUAUUUUUCUUGAGUGUUGGAGAGGAAAGUGGAAUUCCUAGUGUAGCGGUGAAAUGCGUAGAUAUUAGGAGGAACACCGGUGGCGAAGGCGACUUUCUGGACAGUAACUGACGUUGAGGCACGAAAGUGUGGGGAGCAAACAGGAUUAGAUACCCCGGUAGUC
rnacentral:rRNA from 1 species